rnacentral:rRNA from 1 species
ACGAACGCUGGCGGCAUGCCUAACACAUGCAAGUCGAACGGAGAUAUUUGGAAGCUUGCUUUUGGAUAUCUUAGUGGCGGACGGGCGAGUAACGCGUGAGCAACCUGGCCUUCAGUGUGGAACAACGUCUGGAAACGGGCGCUAAUACCGCAUGACGCAGUGGAAUCGCAUGGUUCUGCUGUCAAAGGAGCAAUCCGCUGAAGGAUGGGCUCGCGUCCGAUUAGCUAGAUGGUGAGGUAAGGGCUCACCAUGGCGAUGAUCGGUAGCCGAACUGAGAGGUUGAUCGGCCGCAUUGGGACUGAGACACGGCCCAGACUCCUACGGGAGGCAGCAGUGGGGGAUAUUGGUCAAUGGGGGAAACCCUGAACCAGCAAUGCCGCGUGAGGGAAGAAGGUCUUCGGAUUGUAAACCUAAGUAGUCAGGGACGAAGAAAGUGACGGUACCUGAAGAGUAAGCUCCGGCUAACUACGUGCCAGCAGCCGCGGUAAUACGUAGGGAGCGAGCGUUGUCCGGAUUUACUGGGUGUAAAGGGUGCGUAGGCGGGUCGGCAAGUCAGAUGUGAAAUACCGGGGCUUAACUCCGGGGCUGCAUUUGAAACUGUUGAUCUUGAGUGAAGUAGAGGCAGGCGGAAUUCCUAGUGUAGCGGUGAAAUGCGUAGAUAUUAGGAGGAACACCAGUGGCGAAGGCGGCCUGCUGGGCUUUAACUGACGCUGAGGCACGAAAGCAUGGGGAGCAAACAGGAUUAGAUACCCUGGUAGUCCAUGCCGUAAACGAUGAUUGCUAGGUGUGGGGGGACUGACCCCUUCCGUGCCGGAGUAAACACAAUAAGCAAUCCACCUGGGGAGUACGACCGCAAGGUUGAAACUCAAAGGAAUUGACGGGGGCCCGCACAAGCAGUGGAGUAUGUGGUUUAAUUCGAAGCAACGCGAAGAACCUUACCAGGUCUUGACAUCCAACUAACGAAGCAGAGAUGCAUCAGGUGCCCUUCGGGGAAAGUUGAGACAGGUGGUGCAUGGUUGUCGUCAGCUCGUGUCGUGAGAUGUUGGGUUAAGUCCCGCAACGAGCGCAACCCUUGUGAUUAGUUGCUACGCAAGAGCACUCUAAUCAGACUGCCGUUGACAAAACGGAGGAAGGUGGGGACGACGUCAAAUCAUCAUGCCCCUUAUGACCUGGGCUACACACGUACUACAAUGGCCGUUAACAGAGGGAAGCAAGACCGCGAGGUGGAGCAAAACUCAAAAAAGUAGUCUCAGUUCGGAUUGUAGACUGAAAUUCGUCUACAUGAAGCUGGAAUUGCUAGUAAUGGCAGGUCAGCAUACUGCCGUGAAUACGUUCCCGGGCCUUGUACACACCGCCCGUCACACCAUGGGAGCCGGUAAUACCCGAAGUCAGUAGCCUAACCGCAAGGAGGGCGCUGCCGAAGGUAGGAUUGGCGACUGGGGUG